GAUGAAGAACGUAGCGAAAUGCGAUAAGUAAUGUGAAUUGCAGAAUUCAGUGAAUCAUCGAAUCUUUGAACGCACAUUGCGCCCAUUAGUAUUCUAGUGGGCAUGCCUGUUCGAGAGUCAUUUCAACCCUUAAGCCUCUGUUGCUUAGCGUUGGGAGCCUACCUACCCGGUAGAUCCUCAAAGUUAGCUGGCAGGGUCGAGGUUCGCCCUAAGCGUAGUAGUUCUUUCUCGCUUCUGCGGCUGCCUAGGCCAUCGCCACAAGCCUUUUAAACUUCAAUGGUUGACCUCGGAUCAGGUAGGAAUACCCGCUGAACUUAAGCAUAUCAAUAAGCGGAGGA
rnacentral:misc_RNA from 1 species